rnacentral:rRNA from 1 species
GACGAACGCUGGCGGCGUGCUUAACACAUGCAAGUCGAGCGGUAAGGCCCUUUGGGGUACACGAGCGGCGAACGGGUGAGUAACACGUGGGUGACCUGCCCCCUUCUCUGGGAUAAGCCUGGGAAACUGGGUCUAAUACCGGAUAUGACUCAUGAUUGCAUGGUUGUGGGUGGAAAGAUUUUUUGGUGGGGGAUGGGCCCGCGGCCUAUCAGCUUGUUGGUGGGGUGAUGGCCUACCAAGGCGACGACGGGUAGCCGGCCUGAGAGGGCGACCGGCCACACUGGGACUGAGACACGGCCCAGACUCCUACGGGAGGCAGCAGUGGGGAAUAUUGCGCAAUGGGCGGAAGCCUGACGCAGCGACGCCGCGUGGGGGAUGACGGCCUUCGGGUUGUAAACCUCUUUCGGCCCCGACGAAGCGUGAGUGACGGUAGGGGUAGAAGAAGCACCGGCCAACUACGUGCCAGCAGCCGCGGUAAUACGUAGGGUGCGAGCGUUGUCCGGAAUUAUUGGGCGUAAAGAGCUCGUAGGCGGUCUGUCGCGUCGGUCGUGAAAACUUGGGGCUUAACCCUGAGCUUGCGGUCGAUACGGGCAUGACUGGAGUUCGGCAGGGGAGACUGGAAUUCCUGGUGUAGCGGUGAAAUGCGCAGAUAUCAGGAGGAACACCGGUGGCGAAGGCGGGUCUCUGGGCCGAUACUGACGCUGAGGAGCGAAAGCGUGGGGAGCGAACAGGAUUAGAUACCCUGGUAGUCCACGCCGUAAACGGUGGGCGCUAGGUGUGGGGGCCAUUCCACGGUCUCUGUGCCGUAGCUAACGCAUUAAGCGCCCCGCCUGGGGAGUACGGCCGCAAGGCUAA